rnacentral:rRNA from 1 species
UUAACAAAAACAUGUCCUUUUGAUUAUUAUUUAAGGUCUAGUCUGCCCAAUGAUGAUUUGAAUGGCCGCGAUAUUUUGAUCGUGCGAAGGUAGCAUAAUCAUUAGUUUUUUAAUUGAAAGCUGGUAUGAAGGAUUGGACGAGAGGUUAACUGUCUCUAUUUUAUUAUUUGAAUUUUAUUUUUUAGUUAGAAAGCUUAAAUUUUUUUGUUAGACGAGAAGACCCUAUAGAGUUUUAUAUUUUUUUUCUCUAAAUAAGUUUUAGGAUAGACUUUAGGAGUUUAUAAAAUAUUUAGCUGGGGUGACGGAAAAAUUUAAUUAACUUUUUCUUUUUAAAAUAUUAAUGAAUAGGUUUUUGACUUAAUUAUUUUAGUUAUAAGAUUAAAUUACCUUAGGGAUAACAGCGUAAUUUUUCUAAAGAGUUCUUAUCGAAAGAAAAGAUUGCGACCUCGAUGUUGGAUUAAAGUUAAAAAUAGGUGUAGAAGCUUGUUGUUUUAGUCUGUUCGACUAUUAAAACUUUACAUGAUCUGAG